rnacentral:rRNA from 1 species
GGUCAAGUGAAGAAGCGCAUACGGUGGAUGCCUUGGCAGUCAGAGGCGAUGAAAGACGUGGUAGCCUGCGAUAAGCUUCGGGGAGUCGGCAAACAGACUUUGAUCCGGAGAUCUCUGAAUGGGGGAACCCACUCAGCAUAAGCUGAGUAUCUUGUACUGAAUACAUAGGUGCAAGAGGCGAACCAGGGGAACUGAAACAUCUAAGUACCCUGAGGAAAAGAAAUCAACCGAGAUUCCCUUAGUAGUGGCGAGCGAACGGGGACUAGCCCUUAAGUGGCUUUGAGAUUAGCGGAACGCUCUGGAAAGUGCGGCCAUAGUGGGUGAUAGCCCUGUACGCGAAAAUCUCUUAGUCAUGAAAUCGAGUAGGACGGAGCACGAGAAACUUUGUCUGAAUAUGGGGGGACCAUCCUCCAAGGCUAAAUACUACUGACUGACCGAUAGUGAACCAGUACCGUGAGGGAAAGGCGAAAAGAACCCCGGAGAGGGGAGUGAAAUAGAACCUGAAACCGUAUGCGUACAAGCAGUGGGAGCCUACUUUGUUAGGUGACUGCGUACCUUUUGUAUAAUGGGUCAGCGACUUAUAUUCAGUGGCGAGCUUAACCGAAUAGGGGAGGCGUAGCGAAAGCGAGUCUUAAUAGGGCGUUUAGUCGCUGGGUAUAGACCCGAAACCGGGCGAUCUAUCCAUGGGCAGGUUGAAGGUUAGGUAACACUGACUGGAGGACCGAACCGACUACCGUUGAAAAGUUAGCGGAUGACCUGUGGAUCGGAGUGAAAGGCUAAUCAAGCUCGGAGAUAGCUGGUUCUCCUCGAAAGCUAUUUAGGUAGCGCCUCAUGUAUCACUGUAGGGGGUAGAGCACUGUUUCGGCUAGGGGGUCAUCCCGACUUACCAAACCGAUGCAAACUCCGAAUACCUACAAGUGCCGAGCAUGGGAGACACACGGCGGGUGCUAACGUCCGUCGUGAAAAGGGAAACAACCCAGACCGUCAGCUAAGGUCCCAAAGUUAUGGUUAAGUGGGAAACGAUGUGGGAAGGCUUAGACAGCUAGGAGGUUGGCUUAGAAGCAGCCACCCUUUAAAGAAAGCGUAAUAGCUCACUAGUCGAGUCGGCCUGCGCGGAAGAUGUAACGGGGCUCAAACCAUACACCGAAGCUACGGGUAUCACUUAGGUGAUGCGGUAGAGGAGCGUUCUGUAAGCCUGUGAAGGUGAGUUGAGAAGCUUGCUGGAGGUAUCAGAAGUGCGAAUGCUGACAUGAGUAACGACAAUGGGAGUGAAAAACUCCCACGCCGAAAGACCAAGGUUUCCUGCGCAACGUUAAUCGACGCAGGGUUAGUCGGUCCCUAAGGCGAGGCUGAAAAGCGUAGUCGAUGGAAAACAGGUUAAUAUUCCUGUACUUCUAGUUAUUGCGAUGGAGGGACGGAGAAGGCUAGGCCAGCUUGGCGUUGGUUGUCCAAGUUUAAGGUGGUAGGCUGAGAUCUUAGGUAAAUCCGGGAUCUUAAGGCCGAGAGCUGAUGACGAGUUGCCUUUAGGCGACGAAGUGGUUGAUGCCAUGCUUCCAAGAAAAGCUUCUAAGCUUCAGAUAACUAGGAACCGUACCCCAAACCGACACAGGUGGUUGGGUAGAGAAUACCAAGGCGCUUGAGAGAACUCGGGUGAAGGAACUAGGCAAAAUGGCACCGUAACUUCGGGAGAAGGUGCGCCGGUGAGGGUGAAGGACUUGCUCCGUAAGCCCAUGCCGGUCGAAGAUACCAGGCCGCUGCGACUGUUUAUUAAAAACACAGCACUCUGCAAACACGAAAGUGGACGUAUAGGGUGUGACGCCUGCCCGGUGCCGGAAGGUUAAUUGAUGGGGUUAGCUAACGCGAAGCUCUUGAUCGAAGCCCCGGUAAACGGCGGCCGUAACUAUAACGGUCCUAAGGUAGCGAAAUUCCUUGUCGGGUAAGUUCCGACCUGCACGAAUGGCGUAACGAUGGCGGCGCUGUCUCCACCCGAGACUCAGUGAAAUUGAAAUCGCUGUGAAGAUGCAGUGUAUCCGCGGCUAGACGGAAAGACCCCGUGAACCUUUACUAUAGCUUUGCACUGGACUUUGAAUUUGCUUGUGUAGGAUAGGUGGGAGGCUUUGAAGCGUGGACGCCAGUUCGCGUGGAGCCAUCCUUGAAAUACCACCCUGGCAACUUUGAGGUUCUAACUCAGGUCCGUUAUCCGGAUCGAGGACAGUGUAUGGUGGGUAGUUUGACUGGGGCGGUCUCCUCCUAAAGAGUAACGGAGGAGUACGAAGGUGCGCUCAGACCGGUCGGAAAUCGGUCGUAGAGUAUAAAGGCAAAAGCGCGCUUGACUGCGAGACAGACACGUCGAGCAGGUACGAAAGUAGGUCUUAGUGAUCCGGUGGUUCUGUAUGGAAGGGCCAUCGCUCAACGGAUAAAAGGUACUCCGGGGAUAACAGGCUGAUACCGCCCAAGAGUUCAUAUCGACGGCGGUGUUUGGCACCUCGAUGUCGGCUCAUCACAUCCUGGGGCUGAAGCCGGUCCCAAGGGUAUGGCUGUUCGCCAUUUAAAGUGGUACGCGAGCUGGGUUUAGAACGUCGUGAGACAGUUCGGUCCCUAUCUGCCGUGGACGUUUGAGAUUUGAGAGGGGCUGCUCCUAGUACGAGAGGACCGGAGUGGACGAACCUCUGGUGUUCCGGUUGUCACGCCAGUGGCAUUGCCGGGUAGCUAUGUUCGGAAGAGAUAACCGCUGAAAGCAUCUAAGCGGGAAACUUGCCUCAAGAUGAGAUCUCACUGGAGCCUUGAGCUCCCUGAAGGGCCGUCGAAGACUACGACGUUGAUAGGUUGGGUGUGUAAGCGCUGUGAGGCGUUGAGCUAACCAAUACUAAUUGCCCGUGAGGCUUGACCAU